UCACAUUCGGAGAAACAAAAAGGCUUGACUUUAAAAAAUUCACCUUUUGUCCAGAAGCAUUACAAAAGACAGUUAAACAAUUAAUAAUAACAUCCAGCUGUUCUUCCGUAGCUUCAGCAAACAAUACCAUAUCGUCGGCGAACAUGAGAUGUGAAACCAACGGACCAUUGUUGGAAAUAGGAAGUGGAUGCCACGUCCCUUGUUCCACUGAAUGUUUAAUAAUAUUGGAAAGUUG
rnacentral:lncRNA from 1 species